GGUUUCCGUAGGUGAACCUGCGGAAGGAUCGUUAACGUAU
rnacentral:rRNA from 1 species